rnacentral:ribozyme from 1 species
UCCGACCGUUGCUGCUACCUUGACGUGGUAGUCGGGCUUGCUUACCAUAAUCAACCAAUCGAGCUGAAUGGAACAAUCGUUCCUCAAGAUCCUACUAUGUCAGACAGGUCGGUUGAAGAGCGGUAAGACUAAAAGCAGC